rnacentral:rRNA from 1 species
AGCAGCCGCGGUAAUUCCAGCUCCAAUAGCGUAUAUUAAAGUUGUUGCAGUUAAAAAGCUCGUAGUUGAAUUUCGGGAUCGACGGGUCGGUCGCGCCUCUGGUGUGUACUGGCCCUGUCGGUUUCUCCCUUCUGACGAACCACGAUGUCAUUAAUUUGGUGUCGUGGGAAAUCAGGACUGUUACUUUGAAAAAAUUAGAGUGUUUAAAGCAGGCAUUCGCUUGAAUACAUUAGCAUGGAAUAAUGAAAUAGGACGUUUGAUCUUAUUUUGUUGGUUUCUAAGAUCGACGUAAUGAUUAAUAGGGAUAGUUGGGGGCAUUAGUAUUCAAUUGUCAGAGGUGAAAUUCUUGGAUUUAUUGAAGACUAACUACUGCGAAAGCAUUUGCCAAGGAUGUUUUCAUUAAUCAAGAACGAAAGUUAGGGGAUCGAAGACGAUCAGAUACCGUCGUAGUCUUAACCAUAAACUAUGCCGACUAGGGAUCGGAUGAUGUUAAUUUUUUAAUGUACUCAUUCGGCGCCUU